rnacentral:rRNA from 1 species
AUUGAACGCUGGCGGAAUGCUUUACACAUGCAAGUCGAGCGGCAGCGCGGGGGCAACCCUGGCGGCGAGCGGCGAACGGGUGAGUAAUACAUCGGAACGUGUCCUUAAGUGGGGGAUAGCUCGGCGAAAGCCGGAUUAAUACCGCAUAAGCUCUGAGGAGGAAAGCGGGGGCUCCGUAAGGACCUCGCGCUGUUGGAGCGGCCGAUGUCGGAUUAGCUAGUUGGUGGGGUAAAGGCCCACCAAGGCGACGAUCCGUAGCUGGUCUGAGAGGAUGAUCAGCCACACUGGAACUGAGACACGGUCCAGACUCCUACGGGAGGCAGCAGUGGGGAAUUUUGGACAAUGGGGGCAACCCUGAUCCAGCCAUGCCGCGUGAGUGAAGAAGGCCUUAGGGUUGUAAAGCUCUUUCAGCGGGAAGAUAAUGACGUACCGCAGAAGAA